CGCGUAGGAAACUGCCCGGUAGUGGGGGAUAACAUGGGGAAACUCAUGCUAAUACCGCAUACGCCCUGAGGGGGAAAGCGUGGGAUCUUCGGACCACGUGCUAUCGGAUGUGCCUGCGUAAGAUUAGCUAGUUGGUGGGGUAAAGGCCUACCAAGGCGACGAUCUUUAGCUGGUCUGAGAGGAUGAUCAGCCACACUGGGACUGAGACACGGCCCAGACUCCUACGGGAGGCAGCAGUGGGGAAUAUUGGACAAUGGGCGCAAGCCUGAUCCAGCCAUGCCGCGUGUGUGAAGAAGGCUC
rnacentral:rRNA from 1 species